GGAAAAAAGGGAGUGGAGGCUCUGAGUGCUGGGAAUCAAACAGCUCUGCCAGCCAAACAGACUUGCACCAUAAAUAGCAACAGCUGCUUGCAAGUAUUGCUUGCAGAUUGUCUUUAUUAGGAGAUAUCAAAAUCUCCAGUGACAAUUCAUCACUUUCCUAAUCCUAUUAGCAGUAAUGGAGAAAUGCCAAGUCAUUCCCCACAAAUCUCCCUCAGCUCUCUUUACGUUCUUCAAGCACCCAAGAUUAGAGUACAACCUAAGUCCAAGAACAUUGACUGGCUCUUAGUGGAGUAAAAAUCCCAACCCCAUGCUAGUGAGUGUUCGCCAAAUUGUUUUAAAGGACAACAGAACACCAGAGUUGAGUUUAAUUGGAGAUGCUGAAGCUUAUUUGUUUUAUUUUGUUUGCACAUGGGUUGGCGACAAGACUGCCCUACAAGACCAUGCUUCACCAUAACUCCUGAUAGCCAUUGUCUCUGGUACCAAAAUCAUUGUAAAUGCUUUAAGAUUUGAAACACUGCCACGAUAACCAGUAGCCUGGCUGAUUUUGCAAACUCUUCUUGUAAAAUUUUCAGAAGAAUGCUCAUUUUUAUGGUUGGUAUAAAGGGUAGAAUAUUGUUUAAUUUCAUGCAAUGGCUAGAAGCUAAUGCUAACAAAUUCAAAUUCAAAGGAGUUUAUCACAGAUAGGUAGCCAGCAGGACAGUUUACCUAGGAAAACUGUAAAAUCCCUAUUAGUCAUUUCAUUCAAAGAGCAAAUAUUUUAGACCUUUUCUUCCAAAAGGUCAAAAUACCAUCAUCUGAAAAAGUAUGAAGAAUCAGAACAUUUUUUCUUAAGUGAAAUAUUUUGAUAUCUUUUCACAACAUUGUUCCAGGUUUUUUACCAGUUCCCACAAUGUAUCAUUGGAGGUAUUGUGGAACAUUCCAAGAACCAUAUAGGAGCAGAGUGUGGACAAGGCAAAAAAAACCCCAAAAAAACCCAAUGUCUACUCCAUAAAAAAUAAAGAAAGUGGGGAUUCAUGCUACAACAUGUAGAACCUCCUGUGGUUUUUAUUCUUCAAACACAAGGCAGCAGUUUUACAAUAUCUCUUAGUGACCUGUUCUCCUCUGCUGGGAUUCAGCCAUACAGGACAGCUUGGAGAUAAGGAUUUAAUGAAUACUCACUCUGUGGAUCAGCCAAGAGAGAGAGGUGAGCAAUGAAUGAACACUUCCAGUGUCUCUUCCCAGAUGUGUCUGCCAUUUAUCUCACACUGUAUUCUGGUAAACAAAAUUCAAGCACAUUAAAGAACAACCAGACUAAUGAUCAGCAGAGAUCCUUGAGUUAAUGUUAUCUCUUUAUACUAAAAGUAUGGUUUGAGCUAAAUGCCUUGCCAGUUCCCUUCCUGGGCACCUAAAUGAAAAAAAAAGCGUGAAAAUGGAACUUUCAUUAUUUUAGGGACAUAUUUACACCUUUAAAAAAGAUUCUGGUCUCACAUUCUUCUGGACUGCUUUCAGUGCAGUGUCCAGCAAGAUGCAACUUCUCAAGGCUAACAGAGGAACACAGGGAAAUUGCUUCCUUCAGAUAAUCCUUCUUAAUUUGGCAUUUGGUAACUGGAACAAAAAAAAAAAAAAAACCAACCCUAAUAUAACCUUAAAAUAAAGAAAAUUAUGAAAUCUGAAGUCAAAAUUUAAAGCAAUGCAAAACACUGAAACAUGCCAGCAUUUGAUCUAAGGAUCCUACAGAAUUAGCAUAGUGAGCAUAUGUUCAUGUUCAAAGACAACAGACAUUUUUGAUAACCCUCCCUAAAUUUAGCUCAUCUAUGAUUUACAUAUUUAAACGUUUCUUUCUUUUUUUUUUUUUUUUUGAAUGAACUAAAUUAGGGUCACCUUCAUCACUCGUACAGAAAUAUACACACAGCUUUCAUUUAUAUAAAUGUUUAACUACAAAUAUUGCACCUCAAUUUUUAAACAGUAAAUAUGUAUCAAAUUGUUCAUUUUCUUAGCCAGUAAUUUUUGUAAUUUAUAAUUGUAUUUUCUUUCUCUGACUAUGUGCCAAACUCUGUCUGCAGAAAUGGUACUUGAACUUCAUUCCUCCACACCUGGGUUGAUUAUUUGUGGGAUCUGUUUUUCCUCUUCUCAAUAAUCUUCUCUUAUAAACUCCUUAGUAAGGUCCUCCUGAACAGAAGCAAUCUAGCUGCUUUAAAGUUUUUAUCAGAAUUUCUAUAUUUCCAUUUAAAAAAUUGGGAACUCAUAAUUCUAGCACAAGCCAUUUCUAAUAAACACUUCUGAUUAGCUUAGUAUUAGCCAUUUGAUAUGGACAGACAAAGAGGGUGAUCUAUCAGCAUAAAUCUCAUAAUUUGAUUAAAAGCAUAGACAAAUGCCUAAAAACCCCCAAUCACAAAAUUAUCUCAAAACAUUUUGAAAGCCUGUUAAAAAUGCAGAUGUCUUUUUUUUUUUUUUCUUUUUUUUUUCCAUUUUAUACAGGUACUUGUGGGAACCAUGGCACUCAUGAGAAUGACCCAGGAGCAUUCAUAAAUUUACCUGAUAGAAAUAGAUUUGAAGUCAUGCCUUCCUAAGCAGUUGUGUGGUUUGUUGUGAGCAGUUACCAGGGCCUGAUGUAACAUUUCAGCUGUGACCAUUUCUGUCUGAUUUUUGGCUGAAACACAAAGCUAUAUUUCCAAGCUGGCCUUUGCUGCAGAUUCAUUUCCAUCCAGAACAAGCUGUUCCUUCUGGUUUACUCACCUCCAAUAGCAGUCUGAAUUGGAGGCUGGCAAGGCUUUGUAUGGAUCUAAAUCCUUCUUGGAAUUGAUGGGAAAAGCAUCUUCUCUUUUUUUUUUUUUGUUUGCCUAGUGAGCUCUGAUUAAGUUACAAAGUCAAAAUUCUCCAUCAAGAUACAACAAAUACUCUUAUUAGCAUGGACAGAUCUCACAGCACUCGUAUGAGAAAAAGCUGAAUAUCUAAUGAGGUCAAUUUUCGAGCUGUGUUUGUGUUCCACAUGUAAUUACCCUCCACAGGCCAGGGAAGCUCGCCAAGGGCACUGCUGUAACUUUUUACAGCAGGUUAUGUACUUACAUUUUAUAUAUGAAUAUCUAAAGGUACUUGAGGGCACUACUGGAGAAGCAAACUGCAUUGGUUGCUGUGCCAGUGGAUAUGCAGCUUCCAUGGCUUCAAACAAUCUUUUCUCUUUAUUGGGAAGUUUUAAAAGCUCUGCAUCCAUUUUUACACUUUGGCUACACCACUAAAAACCCCAAAAUACAGCGCAGAGUGUUGCAGAGUGUACAUUAGCUCUGCUAUCAUUCAUGCUGUUGGUUAAGGAAACCCUCCAGGCCAUUUGUCAGUGUUAUGAAGCUCCCCCAGCGAGUGCAGCCAGCCAUGGUGCCAAGUGCUGGGUGUACCUGCCUUCCUAGAACGGCCUGGGGCAGUGGAUGAGCUCAUUACAGGGUUAGAUAAGCAUUUUAAGGCUUUUUGCUGUUUCCCUCCUCAGUGCCUUGCACUGGCUGCUGGAGGCACUUCCAUCCUGCCAGCACUGAAUGGGGAUUAGUUUGAUUCCUUCUCACUAUGAAGAUUAGAAAAUACACCAGAGCACAUCCCAGUGUUGUGACACCUUCUGUACAUGCAAUAACUGGGCUUUUCAGAAUAAAAUAUCCCCUCUAUGCUUCUCCACUCCCUCCAGCUCCUGGCCCCCCUCUAGCAGAGCUCCUGCCAUUGCAGUUCUUCCUCUCAGCUCCCACCUGCCUUAACGCCACAUUCUCCGUGACCUCCCUGAUCUCCCCCAAAACGUGGGACCCUCAGGGGUGGCUGUCCUUGCUCUGAGGUGAGAGCAGAGCAGGAAGAGGGGGGGAGCAGCACUGGGGCCACGCUCUCCUUGACAGCUCACCCAGGGAAAGCCACUUUGGCUGAGAAGAGAGGGACCAGCACAGACACAGGGGCUGGAAAAGCACAAGUUUUGUACUCAGUUUCCUGCGAAGGGGCACGUGCAGGUUCCAGAUGAGAAUUAUUGAAUCCUUAAGCUUGGAAAAGACCUCUAAGGGCAUCAAGACCAGUUAUCAACCUUACAAGACCAGGCCCACCACUAAACCAUUUGCCCAAGCACCUCAUCCGUGCAUUUUUCGAACACUUAUCAUGUGGCACAGCUGCCAGAGAGGGAAAUAUUUCACAUCAGGGUGUACUGAACAAUGUUUGGUAUUCAGCACUCUACAGCCCAUGGUUCAGAAAGACAACAUCAUUAAAACCAGAGGUUUAGACUCAAAUUAAUACUAUACAUUACAGGAGAGUCCGCAGUGAGACAGGCCCAAAGGACUGCACUGAGAAUGGGUUAAAAUUUAGCCUGGAUAAUGAUCUUCUGCUUCUAUUAAUCUAGUAUAUGGCACAGGAAUACAACACAUAAAGUUACUGAUUUUUCUUUCCUAUAAGCACAAAAGCAAUAAAAUGAGAUAUUCCCGAGCUUCCUGUGUUCAUAUAAAUGAAAAAAAAAAUUUCUAAAAAAAAAGACCUAUAUUUGUAUUCCAAUUUUUUUUUUUUUCAGGCAGGCUUCAAAUCUUAGAAGUGUAAGAUAACAAAAAAUUAUCUCCCAACAAAAAGAACUACCUUUCAUUGUUCCCUUUUUCACUUAGGGCCAAAAGCCUGCUGAUAUUUCAUUCAUCUGCAUCAAAUUAAAUUCGGGUGGGAGGCUGGGUUUAUUUGCUUUCUUUUCUCCUAGGAAAGCUGACCUGGUUAUUGAACAUAUCUCUGUUGUAAAAAACUAAAGUAUAACUUCCUUGGUGCUGCUAUUUUCCCAGAGAUUGCACAGUUCUGCAUUCCCAGGUUAGCAAAAUCUGCUUACAUGAAAACCUUAAGUCAGAAUGUAAAAUUAAAGAAAAACUUUUGUCUCAUUUUCCUGUUAUGAAGGCUAAUUUAAUUAUUGUUUAAUCUGAUAAAUAAGAAAAUAUUCAUUGAAUUUCUAAUAAUUAAAUUGCCAAAUAAUUAUGUAUUUGGCUUAAUUAAUUUAGUUGCCUUCAAUCUACCAGUCUUCAUUUCUCUGCAGGAGUAUAUCACAGUCUUCAUCCUCUAUCUACUAAAUAUUACACAUUUUGAUGUUUGCCUGGUGCCACCCUAUGUUCAGUGUAGAGUUUUAUUACAGAAGAAUAAAAUGAGGCUUGCAAAUAUAAAAUCUCCCAGGCUGCCCUCGGUCCCGCUGGGGAGCAGUGAGCAGCAGAUCUGUGAAGCUGAAUUGCUGGCCGGGGUUGAACCAUGACACCAUGAAAAAGUGAUCCUUUCUUGAAACACAGCGUGAGCAUUUUCAUCUGUAAAAGGGGCAAGAUCAAUAUAUAAUUACCUCACGAGGAGUUGGGAGAGCUGCCUAAGGACGCCGUGCAAAGGGCACUGACCAGUUAAAGAGAGAGCAAAUUCUGCUCUUAUUUAAGACGUGUCAACACCUCAAUAUGGAGGUGUGACUUGUGCAGCCUCCCCUGGGCAAUGGGAGCAGUGCUAAGCAGUGACACUUUGGUGUGGCCUUGCACAGCUUGAGGAGAGGUGUGAACAUGAGGCACAGGUGUGGUGUUAAACCACGCUCUUCCUGCACUGCUGGUAAAGGUGCCACGAGUUACCCAAGGCUUCUGUUUUAACUUCAGUCUACUGGCAGGACUUCCCUUGAUAUGAAUUUCUGGAAUAAUUCCAGAUAUGUCACAGAGUAAUGCACAUAAGAAUUGGAAACAAAGUGUUUAUUGAGCUAUGUGGUUUAUACGCUGCUUUGUGUCCAUAAACUAAGUGAAUUAUUUCUUAUGUGCUAAAAAUAUUCAGUGUGUCUCAGAUGCCAUACACACAGCAGAGUAAGACAUUAUUUGAAACAAAAUAAAAAAUAUUUAUACAUAUCGUA